rnacentral:rRNA from 1 species
CGGAGGGUGCAAGCGUUAAUCGGAAUUACUGGGCGUAAAGCGCACGCAGGCGGUCUGUCAAGUCGGAUGUGAAAUCCCCGGGCUCAACCUGGGAACUGCAUUCGAAACUGGCAGGCUAGAGUCUUGUAGAGGGGGUAGAAUUCCAGGUGUAGCGGUGAAAUGCGUAGAGAUCUGGAGGAAUACCGGUGGCGAAGGCGGCCCCCUGGACAAAGACUGACGCUCAGGUGCGAAAGCGUGGGGAGCAAACAGGAUU